rnacentral:rRNA from 1 species
GAUGAACGUUGGCGGCGUGCUUAACACAUGCAAGUCGAACGAACCCAAUUCUUCGGAUGAGGGUUAGUGGCAAACGGGUGAGUAACACGUAGGUGACCUGCCCCAAAGCGGGGGAUAACGGCUGGAAACGGUCGCUAAUACCGCAUGUGCCCGGCGAUUCGGUUCGCCGAGUAAAGCUUUGGCGCUUUGGGAGGGGCCUGCGGCCGAUUAGCUAGUUGGUGAGGUAAUGGCUCACCAAGGCAAUGAUCGGUAGGGGGCGUGAGAGCGUGACCCCCCACACUGGGACUGAGACACGGCCCAGACUCCUACGGGAGGCAGCAGUGAGGAAUAUUGCACAAUGGGCGAAAGCCUGAUGCAGCAACGCCGCGUGGAGGAAGAAGGCCUUCGGGUCGUAAACUCCUUUUCUGGGGGAAGAGAAAGGACGGUACCCCAGGAAUAAGUCUCGGCUAACUACGUGCCAGCAGCCGCGGUAAAAC